AAUCCUACGGGGCGCAGCAGUGGGGAAUAUUGCACAAUGGGGGAAACCCUGAUGCAGCGACGCCGCGUGAGUGAAGAAGUAUUUCGGUAUGUAAAGCUCUAUCAGCAGGAACGAGACAAGACGGUACCUGACUAAGAAGCCCCGGCUAACUACGUGCCAGCAGCCGCGGUAAUACGUAGGGGGCAAGCGUUAUCCGGAAUCACUGGGUGUAAAGGGAGCGUAGACGGUUACGCAAGUCUGGAGUGAAAGGCGGGGGCCCAACCCCCGGACUGCUUUGGAAACUGGAUAACUGGAGUGCAGGAGAG
rnacentral:rRNA from 1 species